CAUGCAAGUCGAGCGGACAGAUGGGAGCUUGCUCCCUGAUGUUAGCGGCGGACGGGUGAGUAACACGUGGGUAACCUGCCUGUAAGACUGGGAUAACUCCGGGAAACCGGGGCUAAUACCGGAUGGUUGUUUGAACCGCAUGGUUCAGACAUAAAAGGUGGCUUCGGCUACCACUUACAGAUGGACCCGCGGCGCAUUAGCUAGUUGGUGAGGUAACGGCUCACCAAGGCGACGAUGCGUAGCCGACCUGAGAGGGUGAUCGGCCACACUGGGACUGAGACACGGCCCAGACUCCUACGGGAGGCAGCAGUAGGGAAUCUUCCGCAAUGGACGAAAGUCUGACGGAGCAACGCCGCGUGAGUGAUGAAGGUUUUCGGAUCGUAAAGCUCUGUUGUUAGGGAAGAACAAGUGCCGUUCAAAUAGGGCGGCACCUUGACGGUACCUAACCAGAAAGCCACGGCUAACUACGUGCCAGCAGCCGCGGUAAUACGUAGGUGGCAAGCGUUGUCCGGAAUUAUUGGGCGUAAAGGGCUCGCAGGCGGUUUCUUAAGUCUGAUGUGAAAGCCCCCGGCUCAACCGGGGAGGGUCAUUGGAAACUGGGGAACUUGAGUGCAGAAGAGGAGAGUGGAAUUCCACGUGUAGCGGUGAAAUGCGUAGAGAUGUGGAGGAACACCAGUGGCGAAGGCGACUCUCUGGUCUGUAACUGACGCUGAGGAGCGAAAGCGUGGGGAGCGAACAGGAUUAGAUACCCUGGUAGUCCACGCCGUAAACGAUGAGUGCUAAGUGUUAGGGGGUUUCCGCCCCUUAGUGCUGCAGCUAACGCAUUAAGCACUCCGCCUGGGGAG
rnacentral:rRNA from 2 species